CAGUAGCCACGGGAAUACGAGGGGGGCAAGCGUUGUUCGGAAUUAUUGGGCGUAAAGGGCGCGUAGGCGGUUUGACAAGUCUGAUGUGAAAUCUCUGGGCUCAACCCAGAGUCUGCAUCGGAAACUGUCGAGCUUGAGUAUGGGAGAGGUGAGUGGAAUUUCCGGUGUAGCGGUGAAAUGCGUAGAUAUCGGAAGGAACACCUGUGGCGAAAGCGGCUCACUGGACCAUUACUGACGCUGAGGCGCGAAAGCUAGGGGAGCAAACAGGAUUAGAUACCCGCGUAGUCCCUGUCUCUUAUAC
rnacentral:rRNA from 1 species